GGGCCCGCACAAGCGGCGGAGCAUGCGGAUUAAUUCGAUGCAACGCGAAGAACCUUACCAAGGCUUGACAUGUGCCAGACCGCCGUGGAAACACGGUUUCCCCUUUGGGGCUGGUUCACAGGUGGUGCAUGGUUGUCGUCAGCUCGUGUCGUGAGAUGUUGGGUUAAGUCCCGCAACGAGCGCAACCCUCGUUCCAUGUUGCCAGCGCGUAAAGGCGGGGACUCAUGGGAGACUGCCGGGGUCAACUCGGAGGAAGGUGGGGACGACGUCAAAUCAUCAUGCCCCUUAUGUCUUGGGCUUCACGCAUGCUACAAUGGCCGGUACAAUGGGUUGCGAUACUGUGAGAUGGAGCUAAUCCCAAAAAGCCGGUCUCAGUUCGGAUUGGGGUCUGCAACUCGACCCCAUGAAGUCGGAGUCGCUAGUAAUCGCAGAUCAGCAACGCUGCGGUGAAUACGUUCCCGGGCCUUGUACACACCGCCCGUCAAGUCACGAAAGUUGGUAACACCCGAAGCCGGUGGCCUAACCCCUUGUGGGAGGGAGCCGUCGAAGGUGGGACCGGCGAUUGGGACU
rnacentral:rRNA from 1 species